AUUGAACGCUGGCGGCAGGCUUAACACAUGCAAGUCGAGCGGGGGAGGUUGCUUCGGUAACUGACCUAGCGGCGGACGGGUGAGUAAUGCUUAGGAAUCUGCCUAUUAGUGGGGGACAACAUUCCGAAAGGGAUGCUAAUACCGCAUACGCCCUACGGGGGAAAGCAGGGGAUCUUCGGACCUUGCGCUAAUAGAUGAGCCUAAGUCGGAUUAGCUAGUUGGUGGGGUAAAGGCCUACCAAGGCGACGAUCUGUAGCGGGUCUGAGAGGAUGAUCCGCCACACUGGGACUGAGACACGGCCCAGAAUCCUACGGGAGGCAGCAGUGGGGAAUAUUGGACAAUGGGCGGAAGCCUGAUCCAGCCAUGCCGCGUGUGUGAAGAAGGCCUUUUGGUUGUAAAGCACUUUAAGCGAGGAGGAGGCUACUAGUACUAAUACUACUGGAUAGUGGACGUUACUCGCAGAAUAAGCACCGGCUAACUCUGUGCCAGCAGCCGCCGUAAUAC
rnacentral:rRNA from 1 species